rnacentral:rRNA from 1 species
GAUGAACGCUGGCGGCGUGCUUAACACAUGCAAGUCGAACGAAGCAUUUAGGACAGAUUUCUUCGGUUUGAAGUUCUUUAUGACUGAGUGGCGGACGGGUGAGUAACGCGUGGGUAACCUGCCUUGUACUGGGGGAUAGCAGCUGGAAACGGCUGGUAAUACCGCAUAAGCGCACAAUGUUGCAUGACAUGGUGUGAAAAACUCCGGUGGUAUAAGAUGGACCCGCGUCUGAUUAGCUAGUUGGUGAGAUAACAGCCCACCAAGGCGACGAUCAGUAGCCGACCUGAGAGAGUGACCGGCCACAUUGGGACUGAGACACGGCCCAGACUCCUACGGGAGGCAGCAGUGGGGAAUAUUGCACAAUGGAGGAAACUCUGAUGCAGCGACGCCGCGUGAGUGAAGAAGUAAUUCGUUAUGUAAAGCUCUAUCAGCAGGGAAGAUAGUGACGGUACCUGACUAAGAAGCUCCGGCUAAAUACGUG